GGAUGUGAGGGUGAUUUGGCUGCCAUGUCUGUCACCCCAUUGAUUGCCUGGGUUGAUUUGGAUGAUCAGGCUGGCUGGUCGAGUGUCCCCUUCCUUCCUCGCCAGUCCAUGUGUGUCCCUCCCAAAGCUGCACACUGGAUCAAAGAGGAAGAGUUGUAAACCUAGGCUACAGAGUUCCUGUACGUCCACCCUCAAAGUACAUAUGUAACAAAACCAGGUUAAGAAUAAGAAUCAAUGAAGUUAACAUUGGUUCAAUUCU
ensembl:misc_RNA 7SK 7SK RNA